UUGACACUAAGGGCGGAGUGACAUAAUUUCAGGAGUGAGGGUUAGGGAGAGGUUUCCCCCUCACCCUGGUGUUCUUAGUAAGCCUGGAAGCUAAUCACUAAGAGUAUCACCAGUAUGAUGACGUGCUUCAUCAUAACCCUUUCCUUAUU
rnacentral:sRNA from 1 species